CUCUCCUGGAACUGGGCGAUCCACCAGCUCGACGUCAAGAACGCCUUCCUUCAUGGUACUCUGACGGAGACUGUCUACUAUAGCCAGCCCACUGGCUUCGUCGACGCCGCUAACCCGGACCUGGUCUGCCGGCUGAACCGCUCACUCUACGGCCUCAAGCAGGCGCCGCGGGCUGGUAUAGCCGCUUAGCCACCUACUUGGCCUCCAUCGGCUUCGUCGAGGCCAAGUCGGACACAUCCCUCUUCAUCUACCGGCGGGGCGAGGACCUCGUCUACCUCCUCCUCUACGUCGACGACAUUGUCCUCACUGCCUCCACCGCCAACCUCCUGCAGCGUACCAUCAUCGCCCUCCAGCGGGAGUUUGCGAUGAAGGACCUGGGGCCUCUCCAUCACUUCCUCAGCAUCACUACCGAACAUCGGCCCCAGGGUCUCUUCCUACAUCAGCGCCAGUACGCCCUCGACAUCCUGGAGCGGGCUGGCAUGUCCGACUGCAAGCCCUGCUCCACGCCUGUUGACACCUAGGCGAAGCUCUCUGAAGACGACGGCCCCGCGGUCUCCGACGCGACGUCUUACCGGAGCUUGACAGGCGCACUCCAGUACCUCACCUUCUCCCGGCUCGACAUCGCCUACGCUGUUCAGCAGGUGUGCCUCCAUAUGCACACACCACGGGAGCCCCACCUCACCGCUCUCAAGCGGAUUCUGCGCUACCUACGUGGCUCCCUCGACUACAGUCUGCUCCUCCGACCAUCACUGACGUCGGAGCUCGUGGUCUACACCGAUGCCGACUAGGCCGGCUGCCCCGACACACGCCGAUCCACUUCCGGCUAUGCCGUAUUCCUGGGCGCCAACCUCGUCUCCUGGGCUGCCAAGCGGUAGCCCGUCGUCUCCCGCUCCAGCGCAGAGGCUGAGUACCGCGCCGUAGCCAACGGUGUGGCGGAGGCCUCCUGGCUGCGCCAACUCCUCCACGAGCUCCACAGCCCACUCCAGCGUGCCACCCUCGUCUACUGCGACAACGUCAGUGCCGUCUACCUCUCCACCAAUCCCGUGCAACAUCAGCGCACGAAGCAUGUGGAGAUCGACCUGCACUUCGUCCGCGAGCGUGUCGCUGCAAGUGACGUUCGGGUUCUUAGCGUCCCUACCACGCUGCAGUUCGUCGACAUCUUCACCAAGGGGUUACCGACGAGUGUAUUCCUAGACUUUCGUUCCAGUCUCAACAUCUGUAUAGGAUAGAGUUGUGACUGCGGGGAGUGUUAGAACUGUGUUCUGUAAUGGGCCUAGGCCCAACUAUUCCGAAUAUACAUUCCCCAAUCCUUGUUAGGGUUGGGGUAUUCUCCCCCUUCCAAUAAAAGGUGGUUCAGUUAUUUGCUUUCCAUUUCAUGCUAUAUGGUUCUGUCUAGUGUUUACACAGUCAUCGUAGACAGAGCUCCAUGUCUUGUGAAUGAGCCAAUUUCUCCUUAUUUCUUUUUUGACUUUGCUUCUCAGCAAAGUUCACCUAGUGGCUUCGCUUGAUCUCUGAGGGGAAGAGCGAAGAGUCUUCAUCAGGGAGACAGAUACCUAGUGGCUUCGCUUGAUCUCCGAGGGGGAUAGUCUUCAUCACGGAGGCUUCAUUGGUCUUGAGGCUUCAUCUAUCCUUUAGUGAAAGAGAAUGAUAUGGCUUUACAUCUCGUCGUUGGUCUUCGUAGUCUAUCAAAAUGAUACAGUAGAUUUUGUCCUUUACAAAAGGAAAAUAUGAUCAAAUAACUUCAAUAUUCGCUUUGAGUCUUCGUGCUCGGAUGAAUCGAAGUAGUCUAUUGAAGUAGAUUUUCCCAAUAUGAUCAAAUAACUUCAAUAUUCGCUUUGAGUCUAUCAAAAUGAUACAGUAGAUUUUCCCAUUUUCUUUUCUUAAUACGAAGCCAAUUCUGAAAACAAGCAUCAAAUAAAGGAGGAAGUGAUUGUUAACCGACUCCAAAUUACAUCGGAAAGUGUGUUUGUCCAAGAACAAAUCUCCAACAUGAGCUAACUGAGAAAAUGCCUUUUAUACCACGAAAAGCGAAAUGCAUUUGUGUAUAGAUUGGGGUUAGUAUAAUAGCCCAUAAUAAGUUCUGGUAUGUUGAUCUUAAAUUCUUGAGCAGUUUUAGUUAAGGGGCUUCUGUAAUUUACAAAAUCACAAUUCAUUAUAUUUGUCGUUUUUUUAUCCAUGUCUAUUCUUUUGUUAUGGGAUAUAUAAAUACUUCGGUCAUCCUCGUAUAUAUAGAAACUCGGUGGGUUUCUUCUUGAAGCAUGUAUACAAUCUGUAUUUUUAUUUUAUCCAGUGAGAAAUCAGGUCAUCAUCAAUUUAGCAUGGCAUUUUUUUUUCAGGGCAACAAAAUGCUGACACUCUCUAAAAUCUGCAUAACCAGCUGGUAAUGCCACAUCUACCAUGCUGCAGCUCAUUUUCUUAUUCUGAAGAUUGUUUAUUGCCUACCAUCGUCUACCAUUUUCUUAUUCCGAAAUGGUUAGCUCAAAGUAGCAGGCAGGGAAACUUUUGGGAACAUAUACAUUGAAAUAGAGUUCACUGCAAUCUGAUGGGUGGUGUUCUUAUUCUUGAUAAUGAUCACCAUGUGGUGCCAAUCACCAAUAAUUCCGCUGAAACAAUGGGCGAGAACUGAUCUUUCUCAUUUGGCGAAAAGCAAUGUUGUUUGAUGUGGCACAUCAGAAACCCAUACCAUACCAUACAAAAAAUUUGCCGAGAAUCAUGGGUAAGUACAUAGUCAGGACUCAGGGAAAGACCUAAUUCCUGCACGGUGACAUGGCCAGCGAAGUUGUAUCACCACUUAUUAGAAGGCAUACAGCAAUGCGCAGAUGAGAAGCAGUAAGCUCGCUGCAUUCUUUGAGUUUGUGGAGCUUGAGGCUCCAUUUGCUGCAUCAAAUAGAACACCGUUGCCAGUUUUAUCAUCUAGGGGCAUGUGAAGCAUCUGAGACGAAAGCACCUGAAGGGGCAUCUGCAGCUGUGUCGGCUUCUUCCUCCGCUGCCGCUGCUGGUUCGUCGGGAGGCGUCGGUGCAGGUGCCGCAGGGACGCCUGAGACCAGACGCCGGGGAGCUCCAGUGCCCUGGUCUGGUUGAUGGCGAUGCCGAAGGACGUGGCGGUGCCGUCCAGGACCAUGCAGAGGCAGCGGGGGUCGGUCUGCACGACUCCAGCCAGCACCGAGCAGCAGGAGAUCCCCGGCUCCGACGCCUUGCUGGAGAUGAAGUCCAUGCACGGGGCCAGGGUCAUCAUCACGCUGGAACAGCCGUUGCCCUGCGCCGCGGCCCUGGAGACGAAAGCCAGCGCUGCCAGCGCCAGCGCCAGCAGGCUGGUCGUCAUCACUGAGGCGGAGGCGGACCCCAUCGUUCGUGCAGCCCUCGUCGAUCGAUGCAGGCUGCACGAAGCGAUGUUGAGAACUUUCGAUAUGGCUCGGUUGAGUGGUGGCUGUACGGGCGCUGAAUGAGAAACGAGCGAGGGGCAAUAUUGCUGUGGUGCGAUCCUGUAUCGUUGGAACCCUACUAUACCAGGAAGGCGCCAUGCUCAUGCUCUCCCCGGCGCCGCACAGGUGGUUGGCCAUGGUGGUGAAUCCUGGUGGCCUUCGCUUGCAGCAUCCUAUUUAUGGAAAAUAAAUGGAAGGGUCUUGGUUGCUCAAAGCUCGUCUCAGGCUGAUCCAGCCACUCGGUUCUUUCUUGGUUCUUUUCUGGCUCUGGGUUGGUGGUUGUUGAUUUUGCAUUGUAUAUAUACUAGAUCAAUAGGCGCGCGUUGCGCGCCCUAUGGUAGUGCGUUGAAACUACAAAGAAAUGAAAAACAUAAAUAUCACAACACUCUUUCUCUUUUGCAAUUAUAGCCUUCAAAUAGUAAAUAUGUACCUCUAUACGCUCUUAACUUAAUCGCCUCAUUCUUGGCAGGUUUCAUGA